rnacentral:rRNA from 1 species
CCUACGGGUGGCAGCAGUGGGGAAUAUUGGACAAUGGGGGAAACCCUGAUCCAGCAACGCCGCGUGAAUGAAGAAGGCCUUCGGGUUGUAAAGUUCUUUUGUCUAGGAGCAAAGCUUGCGGGUAAAUAAUCUGUGAGGUAGAGAGUACUAGAAGAAUAAGCACCGGCUAACUACGUGCCAGCAGCCGCGGUAAUACGUAGGGUGCGAGCGUUAAUCGGAAUUACUGGGCGUAAAGGGUGCGCAGGCGGUUAUUUAAGUUAGAAGUGAAAGCCCUGGGCUUAACCUAGGAAUAGCUUUUAAUACUGGGUAACUAGAGUAUGUAAGAGGGGGGUAGAAUUCCGAGUGUAGCAGUGAAAUGCGUAGAUAUUCGGAGGAAUACCGAUGGCGAAGGCAGCCCCCUGGGAUGAUACUGACGCUGAGGCACGAAAGCGUGGGGAGCAAACAGGAUUAGAUACCCCUGUAGUC